GCAGAGCACAGUCCUUGGAAGAAUUCAUUAAAGGGCUUGUCCAGCACGCUGAAGCUGUAAAUGAAAAAGCUAUAAAACUAAAUGAGACCUUAGGAAGUCAAGACAGGACAGCAGAGAGAAACUUACAAGAGCUUCAGAAGGAGAUUGACCGGAUGCUGAAAGAACUUCGAAGUAAAGAUCUUCAGACACAGAAGGAAGUUGCUGAGGAUGAACUGGUGGCAGCAGAAGGCCUUCUGAAGAGAGUAAACAAGUUGUUUGGAGAGCCCAGAGCCCAGAAUGAAGAAAUGGAAAAGGAUCUCCGUGAGAAACUGGCAGAGUACCAGAACAAGCUUGAUGAUGCAUGGGAUCUAUUGAGAGAAGCCACCAAGAAAACUAAAGAUGCUGAUCGCUUGUC
rnacentral:lncRNA from 1 species